AAAAACAAAAGGGGGGGGCGGGGCGGGAUUGGCAGCAGAUGUUAGCUCAGGACUAAUCUCCCAGAAAAAGAAAAAGUUCUAGUUCCCAAUAAGAUGAAGUAGGCACCCUUCUCCCAGGUUCUCCCUCUGAAUACAGCUGUGAAAUCUGGAUUAAAUGCAUAGAACAGCAAUUUGAUGACUCGGAAAUGUAAUUGGUGGCAAGCAGAUUGGAGAUGACCAGAACUGAAAUAUCAUCAGUCUGACAGUUUGCUAUGUUUCACCCUCCAGAGGUAAACACUGCUUAGCCUUGGACAGGAGUAUAGCCACAGAAGUGUGUGGCAAGCUGCAGUAACUAAAGGCCCAGAAAUAGAGGAUUGAAAAGGGGAGUCCCAAGGAACAUACUGAGCGGAUUGGGGAGAAGGAGGAGCCAGGAUAGUACCUUUGACCCAGCAACUGAACUUCAAAGAAUUUAUUUUAAAGAAUUAAAUCUAAUCAGAUAAGUAUACAAAACUACAAAUUUAAAUAUAUUUACUAAAGCAUUAUUGGCAAGUGUGUAAGAUUAGAAAUAACUGAAAUGUUCAAUAAGCAUUUUAAUGAAAUACAGCUCAGCCGUCUAAAUGAUGUUAGAGAGCAGUGAUUCUAAGGAGAGUGCCCCCUCCUUAAAAACCACUCUUGUUCAACGCCUGGUACUCCUGAGAGGGUGUCAGCUUUCGCAGGGAUGUUAGGUCAGGAAAAAAGUUGAAAGUAACUAUGUAAGAGAAUAAGACGAGAAAUUUACUUUAUAAUGUUUAAUGAAAAACAUCAGAUUAUAAAACCAUUUGUAAAAUAUUAUCCCUUUUUGUUUUAAUAGAUAACCAUUCUUCCCCAAAAUGUUUCCACUGGUUACCCCUUUGUAGUAUGAUUAUGGCUUGUUCAGUUUGGGACUUUUAUUUCUAUUUGAUUAGGCUUCUAUAAUAAAUUUUACUACAUAAUAAUAAAUGAGUACUUAAUAAUUCUUAAGUAAUUACUACAUAAUAAUUCUCCAAAAAGAAGAAAAUGGUAUAAAAAGCCUCCAAUAGCUCCACUUGCCUAAGGAUAAAUUCCAAAAUCCUUAGCAGGACAUUCAGGACCCCAAACACUGUAGCUCCAACCUGUCCUUCCAGCCUCAUCUCCUGCCACUGCCUGUUCUAGAACAUGCAGUAUAACCCCCAGAGCAAAGCCCUCACCCUCUCUCUCCACACGGUGCACAUCCUGCUGCCUCAGAGGUCAGCUGGUAUCAUCAGCCCAUGCAGGGCGCUCCUUUUCUGACAGAGAGAAAGAGCCGAGCCUUUGGGGUUGGGGAAGGUGUCAGUCACCCUGGCCCAUGCGGAGACCAGGAAAAAAGUAGAGCAGAGAGACUUCCUCCUAAAAGUGAAUUGAUUACUUCUCUGACCUUACUGGGUUCCAAAUUAAGUUUCUCUUAGUGUUUUCUCUUCAGUUGAUGUUGUCUCACAUGAGGCGAGAGAAUGAAUGAAUUUUUUCCCUUCUCUUUCUGGGCCUCCAGUUCAGCUGAGCCGUAAAACUUCGUCUCAGAUUUCUUGAACCCAUGAAAGAUGUUUGCAAAGUCUGAGACUGCCUUGCUUAGUAUUUGGCUGCCCUCAGAAUCCGUUCCAGAGACCAGCUUUCAUAUGAUUGGAUGACAUGUAAAGCAUUAAGUUGUGUCAAUUGUAAUAAUUUGAGACAUCAGCAAGAUUUUUCAUGCCUCUCUCCUGGAGAUUAUCUCUGGAUCAGAUGCUAGAUCUUGACUUCUGUUAUCCUGGAGUGAGUCAAAAGAAAUUUGAAAUGGAGAGGAGACCAAAAUAACAGGGCCUUCAAUUCAGCCCAGAGACUAGGGGCAGAAACAUGCAACGGAGCUCUGAAAUGGACUGUGACUGGCUUAGACCUGAAGUGACAAAGACCCAGUCAGUGUGCCCAGGUGGGGCCUGGAGAAGGAGGACGGGGAAGGAACGGGCCAGCCUGCACCUUUAUCAUUUUCCUUGAUCCUGUGCCCCAGCUGAGGAACUCCCCAGCCUGUGCCGAGAAUACGUUCCUCGAGGACCACUUUUCAAACAGCCCUGUAGAGGGCGCGGUUUCCUCGUCCCAGAGGCUUCCAGGGUUCAGGCAGGCUCUGAAGGCUUUUCCAUCCGUCUGAUAAUCUCUUCGAAGCACUGAGGAAGCACCGUGGGGAGUAUCAAGAAGCACAGGAGGGCCUCCUCGGACUGUGAGAAACUCCGGGCAUAGUUCUAGGGAAGAAGACAAAGACAUGGACCUGUUGCAGUGGUUCCAAGACAUAUUCAAGUUCACGGCCAAGGCAGCCUGCAGAUUCUGGAUGCUUAGGAAUUCAGAAGAGGUCUGGACUGGUCCCAACAGUCUCUAAGGAAGGUGUCAAAGAGGUGAUGGCAUUGGGAGCAGACCUUAAUGGAUGAGAUGAUUUGGGGACUAACGCCAAGACAAGCAGAUGCAGAAGAUGGCAAGGUCUUGUUAAAGCCUCUUGUUUUUAAAUUAAAAUUAAAAUUCAACAUAUUUGAAUUGUUUACUUUUAAAUGGCUAAUUUUUAUUAUGUGACUUUUGCCUCAAUUAAAAACUACAUGAGAUAGCUA
rnacentral:lncRNA from 1 species